rnacentral:lncRNA from 1 species
CGGAUUUACAUUUGAAAGGAGGCCCAAUUGCUAUCGCCAGAACUUGUUGGAUUCGCAAGUUGAACCACGGUAACUGGUGCGAUUUGAGGAAUUGCUGGAGCAAAAGGUGGUUAAGGAAUAUCAUCAAAAUCAAUAAGGCUCAUGAUAGUCUCAAGCUUAACUUCUGUUUGGGUUCCAUUACUGGAUGCCACACUACCGGAAGACGUCUUUCUCUGUGUGAUUCCUGAGCCAUUAGCAGCCUGUCCGCUGUUUGCUAUCAGGUAAAGAAUGAGUUUGUGGAUCCCACUCUUUAAAUAAUAUUUCUUUUGCAUGCUGAUUUCCUCCUUCUUGAAGUGCACUAACUUCUUGUGCAGUAAAUUUAACCAUGGAAACUGAUUUUACUCUAUGAGUAAAAUCUCGGUGUAUUCCACUACAGCUUGUGCAAACAAACGUCCAGAAAUUUGUGCAUACAUAUUGCGGUCCCAAGCUAUUGCAAUUAAUGCAUCUUCGAUUCUGUGUAAGUAAAAUCUCGGUGUAUUCCACUACAGCUUGUGCAAACAAACGUCCAGAAAUUUGUGCAUACAUAUUGCGGUCCCAAGCUAUUGCAAUUAAUGCAUCUUCGAUUCUGUGUAAGUUUGAGGAGACCUUGAAUGAUUCCUUCAUUUUUUCUUAUCUUCCUUUACUCGACUUGUCAUCUCCGCUUCUAAGAACUUAGAAGAUGAUGAAUGUGCAAAAGUAAUACUCUGAUUUUGUAGGAGAUAAUGAAGCAGUUAAGCAUCCUUUUUUAAGCUGACGAUGACGGACAAUGAGAAAGAUCCAGCAGUAUAACAACCAGAGAGAGGAAGUGAUUUUUUGAAUUAGUAAAUUACGAC